rnacentral:rRNA from 1 species
GAUGAACGCUGGCGGCGUGCUUAACACAUGCAAGUCGAACGGAAAGGCCCAAGCUUGCUUGGGUACUCGAGUGGCGAACGUGUGAGUAACACGUGGGUGAUCUGCCCUGCACUUCGGGAUAAGCCUGGGAAACUGGGUCUAAUACCGGAUAGGACCACAUUUUGGAUGGUGUGGUGGAAAGUUUUUCGGUGUGGGAUGAGCUCGCGGCCUAUCAGCUUGUUGGUGGGGUAAUGGCCUACCAAGGCGUCGACGGGUAGCCGGCCUGAGAGGGUGUACGGCCACAUUGGGACUGAGAUACGGCCCAGACUCCUACGGGAGGCAGCAGUGGGGAAUAUUGCACAAUGGGCGCAAGCCUGAUGCAGCGACGCCGCGUGGGGGAUGACGGCCUUCGGGUUGUAAACUCCUUUCGCUAGGGACGAAGCGCAAGUGACGGUACCUGGAGAAGAAGCACCGGCUAACUACGUG